rnacentral:tRNA from 1 species
GCUGAGGUGUCGGAGUGGUUAACGAGUUAAUAUGUCUCCCCGAUGUCCUGUAUUGUUUCGAUUUGCUAACGUUUCGUACGACUUGAAUUAAAUAAUUCCAGCCAUCUAAUGCCUUCGGGCGCGCAGGUUCGAAUCCUGUCCUCAGCG